rnacentral:SRP_RNA from 2 species
GCUGGGCAUGCUGGCGCAUGCCUGUGGUCCCAGCUACUCAGGAGGCCGAGGUAGGAGGAUCACUUGAGCUCGGGCAGUUGAGGCUGCAGUGAGCCAUGAUUGUGCCACUGCACUCCAGCCUGGGUAACAGAGUGAGAACUUGUCUCAA